rnacentral:rRNA from 1 species
AUUGAACGCUGGCGGCAGGCCUAAUACAUGCAAGUCGAGCGGAUGAAGGGAGCUUGCUCCUGGAUUCAGCGGCGGACGGGUGAGUAAUGCCUAGGAAUCUGCCUGGUAGUGGGGGAUAACGUCCGGAAACGGGCGCUAAUACCGCACACGUUCUGAGGGAGAAAGUGGGGGAUCUUCGGACCUCACGCUAUCAGAUGAGCCUAGGUCGGAUUAGCUAGUUGGUGGGGUAAAGGCCUACCAAGGCGACGAUCCGUAACUGGUCUGAGAGGAUGAUCAGUCACACUGGAACUGAGACACGGUCCAGACUCCUACGGGAAGCAGCAGUGGGGAAUAUUGGACAAUGGGCGCAAGCCUGAUCCAGACAUGCCGCGUGUGUGAAGAAGGUCUUCGGAUUGUAAAGCACUUUAAGUUGGGAGGAAAGGCAGUGAGUUAAUACCUUACUGUUUUGACGUUACCAACAAAAUAAGCACCGGCUAACUUCGUG